rnacentral:rRNA from 1 species
UACGGGGGGGCAAGCGUUGUUCGGAAUUAUUGGGCGUAAAGGGCGCGUAGGCGGUUUGACAAGUCUUAUGUGAAAUCUCUGGGCUCAACCCAGAGUCUGCAUGGGAAACUGUCGGGCUUGAGUAUGGGAGAGGUGAGUGGAAUUUCCGGUGUAGCGGUGAAAUGCGUAGAUAUCGGAAGGAACACCUGUGGCGAAAGCGGCUCACUGGACCAUAACUGACGCUGAGGCGCGAAAGCUAGGGGAGCAAACAGG